rnacentral:lncRNA from 1 species
CCCUUUCUUUUGGAGUUUUUUGGCGUUGGUGGUCACCACCGACCGUCUGUUUGGGUUCCUUGGGCUGUGCCAAAACAGCACCAACUGCCGUCGGCCACUGCUGCACUGGCUAUGUCCUCCGAUCCUAGGAACAAAGGAGACCUCAUGGUCCCCUAUUUUCCCAAAGAAGCCGUAGGAAGAAAGGAAAAAACAAAAACAAAAACAGAAAAAGAAAAAGGAAA